UGGCUUAAUGGUUACGGCUUCUGCCUCACAAGCAGAAGUUUCAGGGAUCAAAUCCCGG
rnacentral:tRNA from 1 species